UGCUUGCAGCGAGCAGCUCAGCGUGGUCUGGCUGCCAGGGUAUUUAUGCUGGGCCUGGACAGGUUUUGCUGUCAGAGCUCUGUUCCUGUUGGAUUUUGAAGCUAGCUUUGACUAUCUCCAUCUGGGAGCAGGCUGAGCCAUGUCCAGGGAGACUGAUAUUAAUUGUGAGCUGUUUCUGCAGAAUGGCCUUUUGCUAUGGGAGAAAGGCGUUCAGAGAGCACUUUGCACCAGCAAUAAUUGUUAUGACACAGAGAUUACUGCCUUUGCAAAAUAUGUAGUUGUUAGCUCUGUCAGAGAAGAGAUGAAACUGUUGAUAGAGAAAAAGGAUGUCGUCUCUUCUAUUAAUGUAGUUUUGCGGGAAGACUAAGUGUUUGGGCAGAGGAGGACACCCAAGCCAGUGCCAUCAUCUUUCAGAGCUUCAUUUCCACAAUCCAGAGCUUGUCUUCACUCUCCUGAGGAAAAUGAGAAGACUCAGAGAAGAGGCACAACCCAGACUGGCUGCAGAGUGAUUCAGAAGAAGCUUCUACUGGUUUUCUGCUAUUUCCUAAAGAAUUUGGUUUGGGUAGGCUUUCAGCUCUAAGUACAAGAAUCUUAACAGAAGAUAAAUUGAACUCCAGCAAAACAGCUGUUUUGUGAACUGUUGCCAUAUUGCGUAGAGACCAUACUCCUUGGUUACCUGGAAAAGUGCUUCUGGUCGGCUGAUGGCACAUACGACGAGCCAGACAGGACUGAAAAACAACACGGAUUUGGAUGGUCUUGGAGCAACAAUUCCUCAAACCAGAGCACGUACCUUUAUAAAGAAGCUGUUUUGGAUCUUGAAAUGACUGAAGCUAUGCCUGUGUUCCCUUGUGCAAAGAAAGUGGUAAAUACUUGUAAGAACUGUUUUA